GAUGAACGCUGGCGGCGUGCCUAAUACAUGCAAGUCGAGCGAACGGACGAGAAGCUUGCUUCUCUGAUGUUAGCGGCGGACGGGUGAGUAACACGUGGAUAACCUACCUAUAAGACUGGGAUAACUUCGGGAAACCGGAGCUAAUACCGGAUAAUAUUUUGAACCGCAUGGUUCAAAAGUGAAAGACGGUCUUGCUGUCACUUAUAGAUGGAUCCGCGCUGCAUUAGCUAGUUGGUAAGGUAACGGCUUACCAAGGCAACGAUGCAUAGCCGACCUGAGAGGGUGAUCGGCCACACUGGAACUGAGACACGGUCCAGACUCCUACGGGAGGCAGCAGUAGGGAAUCUUCCGCAAUGGGCGAAAGCCUGACGGAGCAACGCCGCGUGAGUGAUGAAGGUCUUCGGAUCGUAAAACUCUGUUAUUAGGGAAGAACAUAUGUGUAAGUAACUGUGCACAUCUUGACGGUACCUAAUCAGAAAGCCGCGGCUAACUACGUGCCAGCAGCCGCGGUAAUACGUAGGUGGCAAGCGUUAUCCGGAAUUAUUGGGCGUAAAGCGCGCGUAGGCGGUUUUUUAAGUCUGAUGUGAAAGCCCACGGCUCAACCGUGGAGGGUCAUUGGAAACUGGAAAACUUGAGUGCAGAAGAGGAAAGUGGAAUUCCAUGUGUAGCGGUGAAAUGCGCAGAGAUAUGGAGGAACACCAGUGGCGAAGGCGACUUUCUGGUCUGUAACUGACGCUGAUGUGCGAAAGCGUGGGGAUCAAACAGGAUUAGAUACCCUGGUAGUCCACGCCGUAAACGAUGAGUGCUAAGUGUUAGGGGGUUUCCGCCCCUUAGUGCUGCAGCUAACGCAUUAAGCACUCCGCCUGGGGAGUACGACCGCAAGGUUGAAACUCAAAGGAAUUGACGGGGACCCGCACAAGCGGUGGAGCAUGUGGUUUAAUUCGAAGCAACGCGAAGAACCUUACCAAAUCUUGACAUCCUUUGACAACUCUAGAGAUAGAGCCUUCCCCUUCGGGGGACAAAGUGACAGGUGGUGCAUGGUUGUCGUCAGCUCGUGUCGUGAGAUGUUGGGUUAAGUCCCGCAACGAGCGCAACCCUUAAGCUUAGUUGCCAUCAUUAAGUUGGGCACUCUAAGUUGACUGCCGGUGACAAACCGGAGGAAGGUGGGGAUGACGUCAAAUCAUCAUGCCCCUUAUGAUUUGGGCUACACACGUGCUACAAUGGACAAUACAAAGGGCAGCGAAACCGCGAGGUCAAGCAAAUCCCAUAAAGUUGUUCUCAGUUCGGAUUGUAGUCUGCAACUCGACUACAUGAAGCUGGAAUCGCUAGUAAUCGUAGAUCAGCAUGCUACGGUGAAUACGUUCCCGGGUCU
rnacentral:rRNA from 1 species